UACGAAGGGUGCAAACGUUGCUCGGAAUCAUUGGGCGUAAAGCGCACGUAGGCGGCUUUGCAAGUCGGACGUGAAAUCCCUCAGCUCAACUGAGGACGUGCAUCCGAAACUGCAAGGCUUGAGUACUGAAGAGGAUCGCGGAAUUCCCGGUGUAGAGGUGAAAUUCGUAGAUAUCGGGAGGAACACCAGUGGCGAAGGCGGCGAUCUGGGCAGAUACUGACGCUGAGGUGCGAAAGCGUGGGGAGCGAACAGG
rnacentral:rRNA from 1 species